GACGAACGCUGGCGGCGUGCUUAACACAUGCAAGUCGAACGGAAAGGCCUGCUUUCCCUUGUGGAUUGCGGGUACUCGAGUGGCGAACGGGUGAGUAACACGUGAGUGAUCUGCCCCCAACUUGGGUAUAAGCCUGGGAAACUGGGUCUAAUUCCCGAUAGGACUGCAGGGUGGUGCCUGUGGUGGAAAACGAUUUUCUAGUGGUUGGGGAUGAGCUCGCGGCCUAUCAGCUUGUUGGUGGGGUAAUGGCCUACCAAGGCGGCGACGGGUAGCCGGCCUGGGAGGGUGGACGGCCACAUUGGGACUGAGAUACGGCCCAGACUCCUACGGGAGGCAGCAGUGGGGAAUAUUGCACAAUGGGCGGAAGCCUGAUGCAGCGACGCCGCGUGGGGGAUGACGGCCUUCGGGUUGUAAACUCCUCUCGACCGCGAGGAAGCCACCUGGUUGGAAGGGUGGUGACGGUAGUGGUAGAAGAAGCACCGGCUAACUACGUG
rnacentral:rRNA from 1 species